AUUGAACGCUGGCGGCAGGCCUAACACAUGCAAGUCGAGCGGAGCGGCGGACGGGUGAGUAAUGCCUAGGAAUCUGCCUGGUAGUGGGGGAUAAAGUCCGGAAACGGGCGAUAAUACCGCAUACUAUCAGAUGAGACUAGGUCGGAUUAGCUAGUUGGUGGGGUAAAGGCCUACCAAGGCGACGAUCCGGAACUGGUCUGAGAGGAUGAUCAGUCACAAUGGAACUGAGACACGGUCCAGACUUCUACGGGAGGCAGCAGUUGGGAUUAUUGGGCAAUUGGCGAAAGCCUGAUCCAGCCAUGCCGCGUGAGUGAUGACGUCCUUCGGGUUGUAAAGCUCUGUUAAUCGGGACGCGGUACCGGAAUAGAAAGCCACGGCUAACUACGUGCCAGCAGCCGCGGUAAUAC
rnacentral:rRNA from 1 species